UCUGGCAAUUAUGGCGAGAAGGUCACACCCGUUCCCAUACCGAACACGGAAGUUAAGCUUCUCAGCGCCAAUGGUAGUUGGGACAUGCGUCCCUGUGAGAGUAGGACGUUGCCAGGC
rnacentral:rRNA from 1 species